UCCCGUUUAGCUCAGUUGGUAGAGCGCGUCACUAGUACUGCUUAUAUAAUGACGAGGUCAGUCGUUCAAGUCGGCUAAUGGGAA